rnacentral:sRNA from 1 species
AGAGCCGCCUGUAAGGGGUUCGCAAGUCGAGGGGCACCGUUCUCUUCGGCGCUCCUCAUCGUCCAUGUUGCUCAAGGAGGAUAUGGCUAUGAGAA